rnacentral:lncRNA from 1 species
AAACAAUUCAGGGCUUCAAUAAGCAGAGUACAAUCUAUUUAGUGACUGCAAUGUGGAAAUCUCUAAUGUCAGCAAGACUGUGUUGAGAGGAACACAUUUUCUUGGAAGAAUGGAGACAAGAUGAUUCCAACUUAAAGGAAACUGGAAGUAUUCUGAGGAAACAAAUAGAGAAGGUCUGUGACCCAUGUUUUGGUGAAGUAAUG